rnacentral:rRNA from 1 species
CCUACGGGUGGCUGCAGUGGGGAAUAUUGGACAAUGGGGGCAACCCUGAUCCAGCCAUGCCGCGUGUGUGAAGAAGGCCCUCGGGUUGUAAAGCACUUUCAGUGAGGAAGAACGCCUGGUGGUUAAUACCCAUCAGGAAAGACAUCACUCACAGAAGAAGCACCGGCUAACUCCGUGCCAGCAGCCGCGGUAAUACGGAGGGUGCGAGCGUUAAUCGGAAUUACUGGGCGUAAAGCGCGCGUAGGUGGCUUGAUAAGCCGGUUGUGAAAGCCCCGGGCUCAACCUGGGAACGGCAACCGGAACUGUCAAGCUAGAGUGCAGGAGAGGAAGGUAGAAUUCCCGGUGUAGCGGUGAAAUGCGUAGAGAUCGGGAGGAAUACCAGUGGCGAAGGCGGCCUUCUGGACUGACACUGACACUGAGGUGCGAAAGCGUGGGUAGCAAACAGGAUUAGAUACCCCUGUAGUC